AGAGUUUGAUCCUGGCUCAGAUUGAACGCUGGCGGCAUGCCUUACACAUGCAAGUCGAACGGCAGCACGGGGGCAACCCUGGUGGCGAGUGGCGAACGGGUGAGUAAUACAUCGGAACGUGUCCUUUCGUGGGGGAUAACCAGUCGAAAGACUGGCUAAUACCGCAUGAGAUCUCACGAUGAAAGCGAGGGACCGCAAGGCCUCGCGCGAUUGGAGCGGCCGAUGUCGGAUUAGCUAGUUGGCGGGGUAAAAGCCCACCAAGGCGACGAUCCGUAGCUGGUUUGAGAGAACGACCAGCCACACUGGGACUGAGACACGGCCCAGACUCCUACGGGAGGCAGCAGUGGGGAAUUUUGGACAAUGGGCGCAACCCUGAUCCAGCGACGCCGCGUGUGUGAAGAAGGCCUGCGGGUUGUAAAGCACUUUCGGUGGGAACGAAAUAUGCCGGGCUAAUACCCCGGUAGGCUGACGUACUCAAUAAGAGACCC
rnacentral:rRNA from 1 species